rnacentral:rRNA from 1 species
UACAGAGGGGGGCAAGCGUUGUUCGGAAUUACUGGGCGUAAAGGGCGCGUAGGCGGCCGCCUAAGUCAGACGUGAAAUCCCUCGGCUCAACCGGGGAACUGCGUCUGAUACUGGGUGGCUUGAAUCCGGGAGAGGGAUGCGGAAUUCCAGGUGUAGCGGUGAAAUGCGUAGAUAUCUGGAGGAACACCGGUGGCGAAGGCGGCAUCCUGGACCGGUAUUGACGCUGAGGCGCGAAAGCCAGGGGAGCAAAGCGGG